AGAGUUUAAAUGCCGUGAUAUACGGAAUCGUGUCAAAAAUUUAUCGACAUAGUACGGCAUGAUGCGUGCCGAGUCGUGCCGAUGCGUGCCGAUCAAAAAUAUUUUUAUGUACCUGACACAUAAUAGUAAUGAAUAUUUAUUUUCUUUCGCAACAAAAUAUUCUAACUAUUUAUUAUAUCUUUUUAUCACAUUUUUUGAACUUUAUCGAGAAAACUAUUUACUUAUUUAAAGAAUAGAGGGUUUUGAGCUGUGUCAUCGGUACGGGGUCUGUAUUGUGCCGAUAUUUUGUUGGCACGGUACGACACGGUAGAUACAGCCCGUGCCGAUGGGCACUUAAAACCAUGACUUUAAUAUACUAUGGUUUAGUUUAGUAUUGAGACCUAUCAAACGCUAUUAAAUAAAAUGAAGUUAAGAAAAAAUCAUAUAGGGUUAUAGGAAUAUGCUUCUUCGUUCUCCGGUGGGACCGCGCAGAAAAUAUAUCCUAACCAACUCAUUGUGAUAUGUGGAACACAAUAUUACGUACGGAAACAAACAAGAUAUUUUUCCAACGUACUUUUUUACCGCACAUAACGCAAUCUCCCCACAAUCCCAAACGAAACCUACAUAUAAUUAAAAAAAUUUAUCAGACCAUAUAUAAAAUGAUCAAUAAAAGAAAUUUCAUUCAUCGAAUCAAAUAGUUACAUAUAAUUUAUUAUUAUUAUUAUUAUUUCAAAUAAAAUUUAAUUAGAUUUUUAUUAAAUUUAGCGGUUAAAUUGGAUAAAAAUAGAUGCGGAUGAAAUUAGUUAAAUCAAUAUAAUAGAAUCAAUUAAAUAUCGAGAUGCAGUAUAAUAAGUAGAAUAUUCUAAUUUAGUUUAAUAUAUAAUAAUUAUACAGUUUAGUUUGUUAAUUUUUUAAAAAAUUGUAAAUAUAUUUAAAUAUAGAAAUAUAAUUGACGUAAUUUAAUAUCUGAU
rnacentral:lncRNA from 1 species